GGGAGUUUGGCCGAGUGGUUAAGGCGUCGUGUUUAGGUUUAUUAGGCUUGAUCUGGUAUACCAUAAAUCCCGCGAUGGGCAACCGCGCAGGUUCGAAUCCUGCAGCUCUCA
rnacentral:tRNA from 1 species